UUAAUUUUAUCUCUAUCUAAGAAUUCGUUGGGUGUUUAUCGAAUACUGUAUUCAAAAAAAAAUCUAGAAAAAAAUUAUAACCUUGGAUAGAAAUAAAACUGAUACAUGGAUCGAAUGGAUAACUUAAUGUUGAGGGAUAAGGAUCGUAGUUGUAGUUAAAAACUACGACCUACCAUCCAUUGAGCCAAACAGAGCCUAAGUACAAGUCUAGUUAAAACAAGUAGAAUAAAUAUUAAAUUAUAAAAUACAAAAGAUUUAAUAAAGAUAUAUACUAAGCAAUUAUAAUUUGUCGGUGCUAAAAAAAUAAAUAUUUCAUAUCAUAGUGUGUCGGCAUACAGAUAUUUUGCGACCAACACAUAUCGACACAAAACUACACGUAUCUUACCGUAUUGUAUCGAUAAUUUUUCGGCAUUAUUCUGCACCACGGUGCUUAAAUUGUUGUAUUAGC
rnacentral:lncRNA from 1 species